GAACAGGUGAUCGCGGCUGCAGGUGUCGAAAGACCGCAGGUGAGGAAAGUCCGGGCUUCACAGGGCAGGAUGCCGGAUAACGUCCGGUGGAGGCGACUCCAAGGAUAGUGCAACAGAAAUGAACCGCCAUAGAACAUAUGGUAAGGGUGGAAGGGCAGUGUAAGAGACUACCGCCUGUCUGGUAACAGACAGGGCAUAUGUAAACCCCAUCCGAAGCAAGACCGAAAGGAAGCGAUGACGCGGCCCGCCAGCUUCAGGUAGGUUGCUUGAAACAACUGGCAACAGUUGUUCUAGACAGAUGAUCACCCAACGACAUAACCCGGCUUAUCGUUCUGCUUA
rnacentral:RNase_P_RNA from 1 species